GGCAGCAUGGCCGAGUGGUUAAGGCGAUAGAUUCGAAUUGCUUCGCACUCGAAUUCUAUCUAUUCCCCUUGUGGGUCGCAGGUUCGAAUCCUGCUGCUGUCG